rnacentral:rRNA from 1 species
UACGUAGGGUGCGAGCGUUAAUCGGAAUUACUGGGCGUAAAGCGUGCGCAGGCGGUUCGUUGUGUCGGCGGUGAAAGCCCCGGGCUUAACCUGGGAAUGGCCGUUGAAACUGGCGAACUGGAGUGUGGCAGAGGGGGGUGGAAUUCCGCGUGUAGCGGUGAAAUGCGCAGAUAUCAGGAGGAACACCGGUGGCGAAGGCGGGUCUCUGGGCCGAUAUUGACGCUGAUGGACGAAAGCGUGGGGAGCGAACAGG